CUAAUUCUAGAAUGUAAGUUCUAAUGUAAGUUAAAGUAACGGUUACUAUAACAUCCUUCUAAAAUGAUGACAUAGUGAACACACACUGCAUCUCAGUCUGCAGAUCUCACCUGCGUUUCCCCUUUUGAACUAUUUUUGCGCUAUUGAACUAUUUUUACGUUGUUGGGUAAGUAAAACGAUUACUUUAAAAAAUGUAUUUGCACCUCAAAUGAAAUGCAUGUGCCCUGCGAUGGAUUGGCACUCUGUCCAGGGUGUACCCUGCCUUGUGCCCCAUGCUCCCUGUGAUAGGCUCCAAGUUUCCCCGUGACCCUGAAAAGGAUAAGCGGUGUAGAAGAUGGAUGGAUGGAUGGAUGGAUGGAUGAAAUGCAGCUUCUGAAACUGAGUUAACUGUCAGUUAACUGAUGAAAAUCAGUGCACAAAUAGACUCAAUGUAAUUUGCUAGUAUUAAAAUGGAAAAAAAAUAUGAGACACCCUGGUUAGAGGACAGUCUUAGGAAACUACAGUAUGUGGUACAGAUUUUUGAGAAUAAUUCAGUUGCACCUUAAACAAUAAUACCUGUGUGUGAUAUAUCCUUCUCAAAAUCCACUCUUCAGUUUAUAAAACCCACUCAUACCCUCAAUUUAAACCAGACAUAUUUUAGCAUUUAAAAUAUAUUAGCAUAAAAUAUAAUUACAUAGAAUUAUUAGAAACCAGAGUAAUCGUAUCCCUCUCUGAGUAUCAAACACCAAAUGAUCCUGCAGAAGAACUGAAGGACAACAAUGAGCCACAAACAAGAGGACUGCUACUUCUUCUUUAACUGUACAUGCACCAAGGGUUAUGGAAAGUUUUGAAGCGUUCUUGUUUCUUCUGAAAGGGGGAUCGCUGCCCUUUCGGGCACUGUGAAGCCACCAAGGGUAGUAGAAUAGUGUGUAAAUUCUGGCUACAGAACCGAUGCUUAAAGAAGGCAUGUAGAUUUCAGCACAUGUACGUCAAGAAAAACCACAGAGAAGUCCAGAGCAACUGGGAAAAGCAGCCAGGCGGUUGCCGAAAGCCACAGACCAUCAGACAGCACACUGUUCUCCAGGCUAAAAGUAAAACUCCACAUGAAGAUAUUCUUGCAAAUCCAUCACCGUCUGAUGUGACAUCUGGCCAGAAGAAGAAACUCUCAGGGAACGUUUGCUCGGCUGAUGCUGAGCAACCUCACUGCAAGCAUUUUAAGAAAAACCACAGAGAAGUCCAGCGCAACUGGGAAAAGCAGCCAGGUGGUUGCGGAAAGCCACAGAACAUCAGACAGCACACUGUUCUCCAGGCCAAAAGUAAAACUCCACAUGAAGGUAUUCUUGCAGUGAGGAUGACCUGCCAUAUGUUGAAACAAAUCUGCAAUCCUUUCACCAGACUAGCCCAGAAUCAGUCCUGAGUGUGGACACCAGUAUUUGGACCAAAUGUGAAAAGUUUUCUCAAUUUUGCAUUAGUGGGCUGCUUUACAGAGUCUCCAGCUUCUGAGAAAUUGAAGGAAAAAUCCAUCACCUUCUGAUGUGACAUCUGACCAGAAAAGGAAAUGCUCAGGGAACGUUUGCUCGGUUGAUGCUGAGAAACCUCACUGCAAGCGUUUUAAGCUGGAGGACAUUGCGAACACCCUUUUAAGAACAACAAAGCAGUGAAACUGGCCGUGAGAAGGAAACCAUUUAAAUCUUCACAAAGCCUGCAGCUAUGACUACUACGUGUGAUCCACAAUGUGAUAUCUGAUUUAGGAUUUUAGGUCAGAUUCACAUGUGAGCUGUUUCCAGAGCCAGGGCUGUUUGCUCUGAAAAUUCAGUAUAGAGUAUCUCACAAAAUGUCUCCUACUUGGAUGUCAAAGAAUGUCCAUCAGUAAAGCAGCCACCUUCUGAUGUGAGACCCAGCAGGAAGACAACGAUUGCAAGGAGCAUCUGCAUGAAUGAUGAACCACCCUACAAGCGUGCCAAGUUUCCCCAUUAUUAAUCCAGGAGAGACAACGAUGCCAUUUUCCAGACUCUGCCUUAAGACUAAUAAAUACAAAUAAAACUGCAUGCUCCUAAUAUUCUUCAAGUGUCUACAAUUUUUCCUGCAGACAAAUGAGGAGACUCAUCUUGAUGAAGGCUGAUAUAUAUGGCAAUUAAUUUACAGAAAGAAGAGAGCAUAAUUCUGGGCCUAGUUACACAAAGGGCUUUAUGUGUGAGGGUUUAUGUAUUGUCUGUUUCUUCUGGUUCAAUAUAUAUUUUAGAAUAGCGUUAUUUAGAAUUGUCUCAAAGCCACUUUCAGAGCCUCAAACCUCAGUGAGUUAGGCAGUGUUUGUCAUUAAUGACACUAAAUGGUCAUGUGAUUAUGCCUUUGCACUUAAGAUUUGUGGAAUUUUUUUCAUGUACCGAUGAUGGACUAAUCUCAGGGGAUAUGUGCACUUCAAAAUAAGCUAAAUAACAUUAUGAAGAACAUGUGAACUACUUUUUUUCCCCCAUCAGCCUGUAAAGACAAUGUUCAUAAUUGAUUUUUAUGAAUUUAAAUGAUUGUUUUACUGAAAAUAAAUACGACUCAUGUAUAAUUACUUACCACAUGCUCAGUAUCUCCUGCACCCUGUGUGUCCAUGAUGGUUUCUGGUCAGGCUAUCUAAUAAACAAUCUCAGAUAAAUUAAACCAGGUCAUGUGACCCCGAUACUCAAACCAGAACAAACUCUGAUAUAUGAUUAUAGGCUUGGGUGAAAACUUUUACUCAUUCU